rnacentral:rRNA from 1 species
UAGCGGCAGGCCUAAUACAUGCAAGUCGAACGGUAAGCGGCCCUCGGGGCCGCGAGAGUGGCGGACGGGUGCGCAACGCGUAUGCAACCAUCCCCCGACGGGCGCACAGCCGGUGGAAACGCCGGGUAAUGCGCCAUGCGGCCUUUCGGGGGCAUCCCCGGGAGGCGAAAGCUCCGGCGGUCGGGGACGGGCAUGCGUGCCAUUAGAUAGUCGGCGGGGUGACGGCCCACCGAGUCGACGAUGGCUAGGGGAUCUGAGAGGACGGUCCCCCACACUGGUACUGAGACACGGACCAGACUCCUGCGGGAGGCAGCAGUAAGGGAUAUUGGGCAAUGGGCGGGAGCCUGACCCAGCCAAUGCCGCGUGAGGGAAUGAGGCCCUACGGGUCGUGAACCUCUUUUGUUCGGGGACAACGACUCCCACGGGAUGGGAGGCUGAGGGUACCGAAGGAAUAAGCGCCGGCUAACUCCGUGCCAGCCGCCGC